GGAUGUGAGGGCGAUCUGGCUGCGACAUCUGUCACCCCAUUGAUCGCCAGGGUUUAUUCGGCUGAUCUGGCUGGCUAGGCGGGUGUCCCCGUCCUCCCUCACCGCUCCAUGUGUGUCCCUCCCGAAGCUGCGUGCUCGGUCGAAGAGGACGACCAUCCCCGAUAGAGGAGGACCAGUCUUCGGUCAAGGGUAUACGAGUAGCUGCGCUCCCCUGCUAGAACCUCCAAACAAGCUCUCUUUCUUUCUUUUUUGGUAAUGGGAAUUGAACCCUGGAUGUUGCACUUGGUAGGCAAGCACUUUGCCACAGAUCUACAUCCCAGCCCAGCAGCAUGUAUCUCUCUGGGACACUG
ensembl:misc_RNA 7SK 7SK RNA